rnacentral:rRNA from 1 species
UCGGGAAUUUUGGGCAAUGGGCGAAAGCCUGACCCAGCAACGCCGCGUGAAGGAUGAAGUAUUUCGGUAUGUAAACUUCGAAAGAAUAGGAAGAAUAAAUGACGGUACUAUUUAUAAGGUCCGGCUAACUACGUGCCAGCAGCCGCGGUAAUACGUAGGGACCAAGCGUUGUUCGGAUUUACUGGGCGUAAAGGGCGCGUAGGCGGCAAUUCAAGUCAUCUGUGAAAUCUCCGGGCUUAACUCGGAACGGUCAGAUCAUACUGCUUUGCUAGAGUGCAGAAGGGGCAAUCGGAAUUCUUGGUGUAGCGGUGAAAUGCGUAGAUAUCAAGAGGAACACCUGAGGCGAGGGCGGGUUGCUGGGCUGAUACUGACGCUGAGGCGCGAAAGCUAGGGUAGCAAACGGGAUUAGAUACCCAAGUAGUCCCUGAGCGGGCUGGCAAGGCGC